rnacentral:rRNA from 1 species
GGGAGGAAAAGAAACUAACAAGGAUUUUCUUAGUAGCGGCGAGCGAAAAGAAAAUAGUUCAGCACUAAGUCACUUUGUCUUAAUGGCAAAUGUGAGAUGCAGUGUAUGGAAUGUCAAAUUUCUAGUAUGAGAAAUUAACGAUUUAAGUCCUUCUUAAAUGAGGCCAUUUACCCAAAGAGGGUGCCAGGCCCGUAUAACGUUAAUGAUUACUAGAUGGCAUUUCCAAAGAGUCGUGUUGCUUGAUAGUGCAGCACUAAGUGGGUGGUAAACUCCAUCUAAAACUAAAUAUAACCAUGAGACCGAUAGUAAACAAGUACCGUGAGGGAAAGUUGAAAAGAACUCUGAAUAGAGAGUUAAAUAGUACGUGAAACUGCUUAGAGGUUAAGCCCGAUGAACCUGAAUAUCCAUUAUAGAAAAUUCAUCAUUAUGAUUUUAAUAUUUAUAAUAUUAUAAUAAUGGUGUGCAUUUUUUCUAUAAAAGGACAUUGUAAUCUAUUAACAUCAAAUAUUUAUCAAAAGAUCAAUUGCAAAAGUUUAUUCAAAUUAUUUUGCUUGCAAUUUAACAUAGAAUAAAUGCUUUUGAUUUGAUAAAGUGUUGAUAGAUUUAUUAUAUAUAGUGCUUGAAUAUUUAUAUUCUAUAAUAGCAUAUUAAUCAUUGAUUUUUAUGUUUAUUAUAUGCACUUAUAUGAUUAACAAUGCGAAAGAUUCAGGAUACCUUCGGGACCCGUCUUGAAACACGGACCAAGGAGUCUAACAUAUUUGCAAGUUAUUGGGAAUAAAAACCUAAUAGCGAAAUUAACAUAACUUAUUUAAUGGGAUUAAUUUUUAGCCUAUUUAUAGUCUAUUAAUUCAAUCCCGGGGCGUUCUAUACAGUUAUGUAUAAUAAUAUUUAUAUUAUUUAUACCUCUAACUAGAGCGUACCUUGAGCAUAUAUGCUGUGACCCGAAAGAUGGUGAACUAUACUUGAUCAGGUUGAAGUCAGGGGAAACCCUGAUGGAAGACCGAAACAG